AUUGAACGCUGGCGGCAGGCCUAACACAUGCAAGUCGAGCGGAUGAAGGGAGCUUGCUCCUGGAUUCAGCGGCGGACGGGUGAGUAAUGCCUAGGAAUCUGCCUGGUAGUGGGGGAUAACGUCCGGAAACGGGCGCUAAUACCGCAUACGUCCUGAGGGAGAAAGUGGGGGAUCUUCGGACCUCACGCUAUCAGAUGAGCCUAGGUCGGAUUAGCUAGUUGGUGGGGUAAAGGCCUACCAAGGCGACGAUCCGUAACUGGUCUGAGAGGAUGAUCAGUCACACUGGAACUGAGACACGGUCCCGACUCCUACGUGAGGCAGCAGUGGGGAAUAUUGGACAAUGGGCGAAAGCCUGAUCCAGCCAUGCCGCGUGUGUGAAGAAGGUCUUCGGAUUGUAAAGCACUUUAAGUUGGGAGGAAGGGCAGUAAGUUAAUACCUUGCUGUUUUGACGUUACCAACAGAAUAAGCACCGGCUAACUUCGU
rnacentral:rRNA from 1 species